rnacentral:tRNA from 1 species
GAGCAAAGUAAGUGAAACUUUCCAUCUGCCUUUUAAGCAGAGGGUCGGUGGUUCGAUACCACCCGGUCUCA